GGAGGGGCGGGGCCGCCCGGCCCGGUUUGCCCUCAGGCGGCGGCCGCGCCCCGCUGGCUCGGAUUGCCCCGGGGCGGCUCGGUGGAGGCCGCGGUUGUGUAGGGCUGUGGUGCCACCGCCACACGGGGCCGCCAGCGGCGACAGCAGGACCUCGGCUGCUCGGGGAAGGCGCCCUGGCCCCGCCGGGCCUGGCCUCAGCAGCCUGCAGCGCCCGGGCUUCGCUUCUCUCAGGAUAAUCGCUGUUUGCAGGUGGUGAGAGGGAAGAGGCCAGUAACCUGCUCGAUGCCUUGUACCAGAACAGAGAUCAGCUGAAUUGGGAAACUCCCGUUUUAAGAUCAGGAUGUGUUUGUGCCUUUCCCUAGGUUCCAGUCCUGACAAAUGACAGAUGUGGAAGACGCUUAGUACGAAUUCAAACUACUGAACUUGCCUAAUGCCAAAUCACCUUUUUCAUACCAGGAGAGGACUAAGAAUGGCUCUCAAAGUAAAGGAAAAUAUAAGCUCCUGGGAGAAAACAUGAAAGUUGUUGUCUUCUACUUGUUGGAAAGGAGAACUGAGAAUCUCGGAAUACUUUACAAGUCUGCAAAGUACUAUCACAAUGCAGGUCUGAUCUGAUGAAAUCACAACUAGUGCUGAUGCCUGCCUAUGAUGGGAAGAGAAUCCAGACUAUAAACCUGGGAUAUCUGGCCUCUUAAUA